GACGAACGCUGGCGGCGUGCCUAAUACAUGCAAGUAGAACGCUGAAGAGAGGAGCUUGCUCUUCUUGGAUGAGUUGCGAACGGGUGAGUAACGCGUAGGUAACCUGCCUGGUAGCGGGGGAUAACUAUUGGAAACGAUAGCUAAUACCGCAUAAAAUUGAUUAUUGCAUGAUAAUUAAUUGAAAGAUGCAACUGCAUCACUACCAGAUGGACCUGCGCUGUAUUAGCUAGUUGGUGAGGUAACGGCUCACCAAGGCGACGAUACAUAGCCGACCUGAGAGGGUGAUCGGCCACCCUGGGACUGGGACACGGCCCAGACUCCUACGGGAGGCAGCAGUAGGGAAUCUUCGGCAAUGGGGGGAACCCUGACCGAGCAACGCCGCGUGAGUGAAGAAGGUUUUCGGAUCGUAAAGCUCUGUUGUAAGAGAAGAACGGGUGUGAGAGUGGAAAGUUCACACUGUGACGGUAUCUUACCAGAAAGGGACGGCUAACUACGUG
rnacentral:rRNA from 1 species